rnacentral:rRNA from 1 species
UACGUAGGGGGCAAGCGUUGUCCGGAUUUAUUGGGCGUAAAGAGCGUGUAGGCGGCUUUACAGGUCCGUUGUGAAAACUCGAGGCUCAACCUCGAGACGCCGGUGGAAACCGUAAAGCUAGAGUCCGGAAGAGGAGAGUGGAAUUCCUGGUGUAGCGGUGAAAUGCGCAGAUAUCAGGAAGAACACCAAUGGCGAAAGCAGCUCUCUGGGACGGUACUGACGCUGAGACGCGAAAGCGUGGGGAGCGAACAGG